UAGGGUUCGAUUCUGGCUCAGGAUGAACGCUAGCUACAGGCUUAACACAUGCAAGUCGAGCGGUUUGUGCUUUUGCACAUUCAGCGGCAGACGGGUGAGUAACACGUAUCUAACCUUCCCCUUACUUGGGCAUAGCCUCUGGAAACGGAGAUUAAUUUCCGAUGUGGUGUACAUUUCGCAUGUUUUGCGCACCAAAGAUUUAUCGGUAAGGGAUGGGGAUGCGCUCCAUUAGGUUGUAGGUAGGGUAAUGGCCUACCUAGCCUAUGAUGGAUAGGGGUUCUGAGAGGAAGGUCCCCCACAUUGGAACUGCGACACGGUCCAAACUCCUACGGGAGGCAGCAGUGAGGAAUAUUGGUCAAUGGCCGGAAGGCUGAACCAGCCAAGUAGCGUGCAGGAUGACUGCCUUAUGGGUUGUAAACUGCUUUUUUACGGGAAUAAUUAUGAUCACGUGUGAUUAUUUGCAUGUACCGUAAGAAUAAGGAUCGGCUAACUCCGUGCCAGCAGCCGCGGUAAUACGGAGGAUCCUAGUGUUAUCCGGAUUUAUUGGGUUUAAAGGGAGCGUAGGCGGGAGGUCAAGUCAGCUGUGAAAUGUAUCUGCUUAACGGGUACACUGCAGUUGAAACUGGUUUUCUUGAGUGCGUAAGAGGCAGGCGGAAUUCGUUGUGUAGCGGUGAAAUGCUUAGAUAUGACGAGGAACUCCUAUUGCGAAGGCAGCUUGCUGGGUCGUUACUGACGCUGAUG
rnacentral:rRNA from 1 species